ACAGUUACUACCAUUUUAUAUGGUCAUGAUGUAAGGACUGAGAUUUUUACAGUGCAACUAAAUCUGUUGAUGAUGUUUAUGUCUGUAAUUUAAUUACAUAAGCACUCGUCAAGUUUCAGGAGAAAAUGAGCUAGAACGGAGAAGUUACGCGAUUAUUAGUUUUCACGUAAAGUGAAUAGUAACCCGAUUUUCCGGAGAAGCUACGGAGUAGAGUUGGCUUUCGGCAUGUAUCG
rnacentral:lncRNA from 1 species